AUUGUUCGCAAUGGGCGCAAGCCUGACGACGCAACGCCGCGUGGAGGAUGAAGAUCUUCGGGUCGUAAACUCCUGUCGAGCGGGACGAAUGCUCUGUGGUUCAACACACCGCAGAAGUGACGGUACCGCUAAAGGAAGCUCCGGCUAACUCCGUGCGAGCAGCCGCGGUAAUACGAAGGGUGCAAGCGUUACUCGGAAUUACUGGGCGUAAAGCGUGCGUAGGUGGUUCGUUAAGUCUGUCGUGAAAGCCCCGGGCUCAACCUGGGAAUGGCGAUGGAUACUGGCGGGCUAGAGUGCGGUAGAGGAGAGUGGAAUUCCCGGUGUAGCAGUGAAAUGCGUAGAGAUCGGGAGGAACAUCAGUUGCGAAGGCGGCUCUCUGGACCAGCACUGACACUGAGGCACGAAAGCGUGGGGAGCAAAC
rnacentral:rRNA from 1 species